CGGGGUGUAGUUCAUCGGUAGAACGCUCGGUUCGGGACCGAGAGGCAGCGAGUUCAAUUCUCGCCACCCCGACCA
rnacentral:tRNA from 1 species